rnacentral:rRNA from 1 species
AGUUUGAUCAUGGCUCAGGAUGAACGCUAGCGGGAGGCCUAACACAUGCAAGCCGAGCGGUAUUGUUUCUUCGGAAAUGAGAGAGCGGCGUACGGGUGCGGAACACGUGUGCAACCUGCCUUUAUCUGGGGGAUAGCCUUUCGAAAGGAAGAUUAAUACUCCAUAAUAUAUUGAACGGCAUCGUUUAAUAUUGAAAGCUCCGGCGGAUAGAGAUGGGCACGCGCAAGAUUAGCUAGUUGGUGAGGUAACGGCUCACCAAGGCGAUGAUCUUUAGGGGGCCUGAGAGGGUGAUCCCCCACACUGGUACUGAGACACGGACCAGACUCCUACGGGAGGCAGCAGUGAGGAAUAUUGGUCAAUGGGUGCAAGCCUGAACCAGCCAUCCCGCGUGAAGGACGACUGCCCUAUGGGUUGUAAACUUCUUUUGUAUAGGGAUAAACCUACCCUCGUGAGGGUAGCUGAAGGUACUAUACGAAUAAGCACCGGCUAACUCCGUGCCAGCAGCCGCGGUAAUACGGAGGGUGCAAGCGUUAUCCGGAUUUAUUGGGUUUAAAGGGUCCGUAGGCGGACUUAUAAGUCAGUGGUGAAAGCCUGUCGCUUAACGAUAGAACUGCCAUUGAUACUGUAAGUCUUGAGUAUAUUUGAGGUAGCUGGAAUAAGUAGUGUAGCGGUGAAAUGCAUAGAUAUUACUUAGAACACCAAUUGCGAAGGCAGGUUACCAAGAUAUAACUGACGCUGANGGACGAAAGCGUGGGGAGCGAGCAGGAUUAGAUACCCUGGUAGU